CCGGGCCCAACCAUCGGGCUGGCGGGCAGCAGGCGGAGAACGCUGGCGCCUCCGGGUCCUCUCGGACUUCGGCGGGAAAGGGCGGUGUUUCUGAAAUCGUAGCGGCCCCUCGGGAAUCCCUUAUUGACCCAUAUGUAGCUGGGGUGCGAGUAUUGCAGGAGCAAAGUUCUCCGGUUUCUUGGAUUUCCCCCCUCUCCAGUUUGGAAUGGGAGGAGCCAGUAUAUCAUGUGACCAAGUCUGGCAAGUCACGUGACGAGGAAGAAAUGGUAGCCCGGCCUCAGGAAAGCUAUUAUCUCUGGCGGAGCUCCUGGUAACCUUGGCGAUGCGCUCUCAGCAGCCGAGGAUUGAAAUUAUGUCAUUUUUCUCUCAGAUACCUUAGUCUCGGGUGGUAUCCUGUGAUGGAGACGUGGGUCCUCUCUUACCAUGUCUGGCUGGCGGCGCCCCAGAUGCCAUGUGACGACCAUUUGAAGACAGGCCUGUCGGACAUCAGGUCCAGACACUUGCCUUCAAGGACCUGGGCUUUCAGCUCUCCAUACCUGGCCCUGGUUGAUGGCCUCAUGCUGAGCAGUGCACGUGAAGACACACAUGGGUCUGAGUGAAGGGGGACAUGGAGGGUAGAGGUUGUACCUUGAAGACCGGGUGCAGCCCCGGGAGGCAUCUCAUGGUGGCCACAGCAAUGACCUCAGCCAGCAGGUGUGCAGCAUUAUAACUCUGACCGGAAGCUCUGAGUACGUGGGCAGGGUUGUGGACACAUGGACCUCACACAGGGAAACUGUUGUGCCCUCGUCUGGGUUCAAGCAGCAAGAGGACAGAGAGGAAAAAAAGUCCGUGGGUUUUUUCCCAUCCUCUUGGGACCACACCCCUUCUAAUUGGAGAGGAAAGUUCCACUUCUUCAGAGUUAUGGCCACCAUGUCACACACUGCAGUGGAAACCAUUCACAGAGGAGCCAAUGUGAGUGCCCACCUGGAGUUGUGCAGCAGUGCAGCCCUACAAGAGUACAGAUGGAGUGAGGGCCAGCGGCAGCAUGGGAACCUGAACUCGUCCCCACUGGCCCCGGGGCCCUGCACGGAGAUCCAGUUGCAGAACCACGCGUCAUCCUGAAGGAGGUGCCAUUUGCUCAGUUUCACGAACAGCAGCGGCCCCAGGUACUCUGACACGUCCACCUCGAAUUCCGCCUCCUGCCCGCGACAAAAGAGGGUCAACAAGAGGGGCUCUCUGGAAGGAAUCCUCGGACUGAGCUCUGGACGCCCUUCCCUCUGGGCCUCUGGGAAAGCUGCGCGAAAGGAGCCAGAGAGGAAGGGGGCGCGCACCAAGCAGGCGGCUCCACGACCCCAUUCUCGGUCGUGAGUUCCUCAGCCCCGGGUGAGGCGGGAGGCGGAAGGUGGAGAGGGGCACUCCUCCCUGUAGUCACUGAUUGCGCCGAGCGUUGGGCUGCGCACUGGGCACCCGCGAGCGCACUGGUGACCAGUGUACAGACAUUGUCCCCUCGACCCCGUCACCAAGGCCGAGCGCCCACAGAGGCCCCACCCAGCCCGGAGCAAGCUUCCCCGAGGACAUCCCGUCAAAGCGGAGACGCACAGAGAUAAAGCCCGCAAGGUCGGAGAAGAUCCGUGAAGAUCUGAAAUAGUAGCUUUUAAGAAGAGGAGACAGGAGACGGACGGCCGCUCUAAGGACCCCUGAGUUUCCAAAUACAGACUUCUGUGGAACGACGGGCGCGCAAGACUAUCCCAAUUCCAAGGAGGGUGGGCGGCGGGAACAUUUAUUGAGCAGUUACCGUGUGCCGUCCCGCCCUAAAGCGCUUUACUCUCGCGGUCUCCUAGCCCUCUCCGCGCGUGGGGCGUGCGCCCGUAGCCGCCGGGAGGAGCUGGAGGCCGGCUGCGGCGCGUCUCUUCCAGGGGACUUGUGGGCCUUGGGGCCAGGGGCGCAGCCCACCCCGUUCGGCUCCGGCCAGCUCACCUUGCCCCUCAUCGGCCGCAGGCGCCACCCGAGCGCCACCUCCCCGUGCUGGCCGACCAGCCACAGCUGCACCUUUUUGUUGGAGCCCGCGCAGAGCGAGGACCCGCUGGACACGCGGACGCGGUAGAGACCCAUCUUGCCCAAAGAAGUUUCGCCCCUUCUGAGCGGGAAGAAGAGUGGAUGCACUAAAUAACUGGGCCCGAGACCACGCCCCUCCGAAGCCUGGCGGAGUUCGGGAUGUGGGUGACAGGUCUCCAACCAACCCCGCCUGUCCGCGCUCUGGGGUUCUCAGCUCCGCGCAGCCCAGAGCUCAGCCCUGACUCCAAGAAGGCGGGGCCCCCCGGGGGAGGGUAGAGGGCGCAGAGGUGGGAGGAGGAUGGUAGGGGGAAGCAGAUGCGGAUUUGAGCAGAAAACAUGCAGGAAGAAGGAAUCGACCCCUGGCCCGGAAGACAGAUGGUGGGAGUGGCUGGAGGCCCCCUCCAUCUAAGCGCGCGCGCGCGCGCGUGCGCCUCACAAGUUGGUUCACCACUGCCAAGGGUCGUGCUCAAGGCUGCAAGGGAGGAUGAAGACGGCAAGGAGACGGGACCCAGCAGCAUUUGGGAGCCAAGUAGUCCCAGGAAAAAAUAACUGUUCCAAGAACAGGAAGGACUGAUCAGCGCCAUGUGGCUGCACAUGAUAACCAGGUAGAAAGGAGAUCCAACCAGUUAACCAACGCUGGUACUCACACUCUGUGACCAAGGAGAAAGGGAGUCCUGAGAUGCUGAAUUAGCCAAAUGUGCUAAAGAGAAGCAAAAUCCACUAGACGCCACCUUAACCAUAAGACAUUAGGAAUGCACGCAUAAUUUUUUAAUAAUACUAACAAAGCAAGUCAAUUAUCAUAAUGACAAAACCAGGAGUUCCAUAACUCUAGCCAAGUGAAACUAAAGGAAUCCAUCAUUUCAGAGGAGAAAGAGGUUGCAGAAAUUAAAAACUUAUGUAGAAGAUGCAAACAUUAAAAGACUAUUGGGGGUAACAGGAGAAGUUUUACUGGAGCAAAGAUAGCUCCUUGGAAGAAACAACAAGCUUCAGAGCCCCAAGUGUGAAUCAAUCUGCUGAGAAGCCCUAUUCUGUAGCCUCAGUGCAUUCAAGGAUCUGAGACAAUAUUCUUUGUGGGAUAUGAGGGAAUCUGGCAAGAUUUUGGUAACACCAAGAAAACAUCAAAAGAAGUAUUUUAGCAACCUUGAGAAAAUAUCUUAUUCCUAGAGAAAGACCAGAACAAGUAGAAACCAACAGAGUAACUAAAUCCAUGGUGUUGGUAUGUUAAAACAGAUUUACGUAUAAUGACAGUAAGUCUUGUAAUCAUUGUAUUUGUGUUCCUUUUGUGUACUGUUUAAAUUGUAUUCAAAAGAAUCAUCAUAAUAAAUUUGUAAUUGCAGUUUAGAUUAUUUAAGGAAAUUUAAUAAAGUAUGCAAACAAUGUUUAAAUAUUAAAAUUUAUUUUUCAAAGUUCUGUUUAUAGAUAAAUGUUUUAAAAAUCGAGUAUUAAAUAAAGUACCAAUAUUUUUGGAGUAUUCUCUCCAUGGACAAAAGUUAUCCACAAACUUUAAAAACUCUAUCAACAAUGAGCAUAAACUGUGUCCACAAUAAUCAUAGAAAAAUAGCUGAAAGAGUGGACUAUGGUUUUCUCUGGGUAUAUGCCCAGUAGGGGGAUGGC